GGCAACUUCGACGGGAGAACCGGUGCGGCCUUGGCCAAACCCGGUGCCGAAGGCGCAACCGCCCCGGAAACGCUCAGGCCCAAUGGACCGCGAAGGAACG
rnacentral:ncRNA from 1 species